UGGGGAAUCUUCCGCAAUGGACGAAAGUCUGACGGAGCAACGCCGCGUGUAUGAUGAAGGUCUUCGGAUUGUAAAGUACUGUCAUUGGGGAAGAACGGUUUUCUUGAAAAGAUUGAGAAGACAUGACGGUACCCAAGGAGGAAGCCCCGGCUAACUACGUGCCAGCAGCCGCGGUAAUACGUAGGGGGCAAGCGUUGUCCGGAAUUAUUGGGCGUAAAGGGCGCGUAGGCGGGCCUUUAAGUCCGGUGUGAAAGAUCAGGGCUCAACCCUGAGAGUGCAUCGGAAACUGGAGGCCUUGAGGACAGGAGAGGAAAGUGGAAUUCCACGUGUAGCGGUGAAAUGCGUAGAUAUGUGGAGGAACACCAGUGGCGAAGGCGACUUUCUGGACUGUAACUGACGCUGAGGCGCGAAAAGCGUGGGGAGCAAAACAGGAUUAGAUACCCUGGUAGUCCACGCCGUAAACGAUGAGUGCUAGGUGUAGAGGGUAUCGACCCCUUCUGUGCCGCAGUUAACACAAUAAGCACUCCCGCCUGGGGAGUACGGCCGCAAGGUUGAAACUCAAAGGAAUUGACGGGGUCAUAGCUG
rnacentral:rRNA from 1 species